GUGUCAGCAGCCGCGGUAAUACGUAGGUGGCAAGCGUUGUCCGGAUUUAUUGGGCGUAAAGCGAGCGCAGGCGGUUUUGUAAGUCUGCUGUGAAAGCCCUCAGCUCAACUGAGGAAGUGCAGUGGAAACUACAAAACUUGAGUACAGAAGAGGAAAGUGGAACUCCAUGUGUAGCGGUGAAAUGCGUAGAUAUAUGGAAGAACACCAGUGGCGAAGGCGGCUUUCUGGUCUGUUACUGACGCUGAGGCUCGAAAGCAUGGGUAGCGAACAGGAUUAGAUACCCUGGUAGUCCAUGCCGUAAACGAUGAAUACUAGGUGUUGGAGGGUUUCCGCCCUUCAGUGCCGCAGCUAACGCAUUAAGUAUUCCGCCUGGGGAGUACGACCGCAAGGUUGAAACUUAAAUAAAUUGACGG
rnacentral:rRNA from 1 species